CCUGUUCAUGGUCCGGGUUUCCCGGUUUCUGCUUUAUUUCCGGCCAAAACCAAGACCGAACUUGCUGGUCCGGUUUGGCCUGGUUUUGCACGGGUUGCUAGCAGCUGGGAAGGACUGCCGGUGCUGGUUUGGUCUGGCUGGUUUGAACGGGUUAUGCUGGUUUGAUUAACACUAAAAUGAGCUCCACGAAAACAUCAAUCUGAAACCAACGAAGCCAAAUGUUGCAGCCUCUUGAUCGGCAACACCAUGAAUUGUUGACAUACUUGCAGGAAAACAUUAUGCUUCCAACAAAGUAAGAUCUGCAGGAAUACAGGGAAAAGAAAUUUACAUAGCACUAUCACUCUGAACUAGUUAUGUUCAUAAUUUAGCCUAGUAUGGAAAGAGAACAGUAGGACCAGAGAUAGAAAUACAAAAAAAAGAAAUAUUCAUAACACUAUCACACUCUGAACAGCAGGACCCAACAGAGAGCACCGGGGGAAAUGAAAAAGCGCACAUGCUUUUAUCUACUACCACUAGUUGUUGAGAAAUUCUCAUACUUGUAUCAAAAGUCUGAAGCCUACUAAAGAAAAGAAACUUUAUCAUUAAUAGCAUAACAAUGAAAUCUGCACCAUAAUAAAUAAAUAAUAUUUAAUGGAGUAGGUGUUUAACAAUGACAACAGGUAGGCAUACUUUGCUAAUGCUCAGGUUACCGAAUAAUUACUACUAUGAAUGUGUAGGAUAUCUGAACCACAAUAUGACAUCGAAAUGGUUUAUCUUUCUCUGAAUUUUUCCACUGAAUUUGACUGAUAUGGAUUAACUUUCAAGAAAAGCGCAUGGUAACAAAUAAGAUAAAACUAUGACAUGGAACAAGGAGAAAGGAUAGAUACUGAAGCCGAAAAAAGAUUCAGAUCCAGAAUAGGACAAGGGGCAGGCAGGCUUUCCUAAUGCUCAGGUUACUGAAUAACUACUAUGAAUGUGCAGGAUAUCUGAACCACAAUAUGACAAGCAGAAUGGUUAUCUUUCACUGAAUUAUGCCACUGAAUUUG
rnacentral:lncRNA from 1 species